rnacentral:misc_RNA from 1 species
UACACCUGCAGCUGGCUUGG